rnacentral:rRNA from 1 species
GAUGAACGCUAGCGGCAGGCUUAAUACAUGCAAGUCGAGGGACAGCACAGGUAGCAAUACAGGGUGGUAACCGGCAAACGGGCGCGGAACACGUACACAACCUUCCUUUAAGUGGGGAAUAGACCAGAGAAAUUUGGAUUAAUACCCCGUAAUAUAGUUGAAUGGCAUCAUUUGAUUAUUAUAGCUACGGCGCUUAAUGAUGGGUGUGCGGCUGAUUAGAGAGUUGGCGGGGUAACGGCCCACCAAGUCUACGAUCAGUAGCUGAUGUGAGAGCAUGAUCAGCCACACGAGCACCGAGACACGGGCCCGACUCCUACGGGAGGCAGCAGUAAGGAAUAUUGGUCAAUGGACGCAAGUCUGAACCAGCCAUGCCGUGUGAAGGAUUAAGGUCCUCUGGAUUGUAAACUUCUUUUAUUUGGGACGAAAAAGGGCCUUUCUAGGUCAACUGACGGUACCAGAUGAAUAAGCACCGGCUAACUCCGUGCCAGCCGCCGCCGUAAAAC